rnacentral:snRNA from 1 species
GAACUUGCUUUAGUAGUACAUAUACUAAAUUAGAACAAUAUAGAGAAGAUUAACAUGGCCCUUGCACAAACACAACACACUAAUUUGUGAAGCGUUCCCUAUUUUU